rnacentral:piRNA from 1 species
CUCACGUUGUGUCUUACAUUUGCCUGAA